rnacentral:rRNA from 1 species
CCUACGGGAGGCAGCAGUGAGGAAUAUUGGACAAUGGAUGGAAAUCUGAUCCAGCCAUGCCGCGUGCAGGAAGACGGCCCUAUGGGUUGUAAACUGCUUUUAUAUGGGAGCAAUAAGGUCUACGCGUAGACCGAUGAGAGUACCAUAUGAAUAAGCAUCGGCUAACUCCGUGCCAGCAGCCACGGUAAU